GGGUUGUGAGGUUAAGCGACUAAGCGUACACGGUGGAUGCCCUGGCAGUCAGAGGCGAUGAAGGACGUGCUAAUCUGCGAUAAGCGUCGGUAAGGUGAUAUGAACCGUUAUAACCGGCGAUUUCCGAAUGGGGAAACCCAGUGUGAUUCGUCACACUAUCAUUAACUGAAUCCAUAGGUUAAUGAGGCGAACCGGGGGAACUGAAACAUCUAAGUACCCCGAGGAAAAGAAAUCAACCGAGAUUCCCCCAGUAGCGGCGAGCGAACGGGGAGCAGCCCAGAGCCUGAAUCAGUGUGUGUGUUAGUGGAAGCGUCUGGAAAGGCGCGCGAUACAGGGUGACAGCCCCGUACACAAAAAUGCACAUGCUGUGAGCUCGAUGAGUAGGGCGGGACACGUGGUAUCCUGUCUGAAUAUGGGGGGACCAUCCUCCAAGGCUAAAUACUCCUGACUGACCGAUAGUGAACCAGUACCGUGAGGGAAAGGCGAAAAGAACCCCGGCGAGGGGAGUGAAAAAGAACCUGAAACCGUGUACGUACAAGCAGUGGGAGCACGCUUAGGCGUGUGACUGCGUACCUUUUGUAUAAUGGGUCAGCGACUUAUAUUCUGUAGCAAGGUUAACCGAAUAGGGGAGCCGAAGGGAAACCGAGUCUUAACUGGGCGUUAAGUUGCAGGGUAUAGACCCGAAACCCGGUGAUCUAGCCAUGGGCAGGUUGAAGGUUGGGUAACACUAACUGGAGGACCGAACCGACUAAUGUUGAAAAAUUAGCGGAUGACUUGUGGCUGGGGGUGAAAGGCCAAUCAAACCGGGAGAUAGCUGGUUCUCCCCGAAAGCUAUUUAGGUAGCGCCUCGUGAAUUCAUCUCCGGGGGUAGAGCACUGUUUCGGCAAGGGGGUCAUCCCGACUUACCAACCCGAUGCAAACUGCGAAUACCGGAGAAUGUUAUCACGGGAGACACACGGCGGGUGCUAACGUCCGUCGUGAAGAGGGAAACAACCCAGACCGCCAGCUAAGGUCCCAAAGUCAUGGUUAAGUGGGAAACGAUGUGGGAAGGCCCAGACAGCCAGGAUGUUGGCUUAGAAGCAGCCAUCAUUUAAAGAAAGCGUAAUAGCUCACUGGUCGAGUCGGCCUGCGCGGAAGAUGUAACGGGGCUAAACCAUGCACCGAAGCUGCGGCAGCGACACUGUGUGUUGUUGGGUAGGGGAGCGUUCUGUAAGCCUGCGAAGGUGUGCUGUGAGGCAUGCUGGAGGUAUCAGAAGUGCGAAUGCUGACAUAAGUAACGAUAAAGCGGGUGAAAAGCCCGCUCGCCGGAAGACCAAGGGUUCCUGUCCAACGUUAAUCGGGGCAGGGUGAGUCGACCCCUAAGGCGAGGCCGAAAGGCGUAGUCGAUGGGAAACAGGUUAAUAUUCCUGUACUUGGUGUUACUGCGAAGGGGGGACGGAGAAGGCUAUGUUGGCCGGGCGACGGUUGUCCCGGUUUAAGCGUGUAGGCUGGUUUUCCAGGCAAAUCCGGAAAAUCAAGGCUGAGGCGUGAUGACGAGGCACUACGGUGCUGAAGCAACAAAUGCCCUGCUUCCAGGAAAAGCCUCUAAGCAUCAGGUAACAUCAAAUCGUACCCCAAACCGACACAGGUGGUCAGGUAGAGAAUACCAAGGCGCUUGAGAGAACUCGGGUGAAGGAACUAGGCAAAAUGGUGCCGUAACUUCGGGAGAAGGCACGCUGAUAUGUAGGUGAAGUCCCUCGCGGAUGGAGCUGAAAUCAGUCGAAGAUACCAGCUGGCUGCAACUGUUUAUUAAAAACACAGCACUGUGCAAACACGAAAGUGGACGUAUACGGUGUGACGCCUGCCCGGUGCCGGAAGGUUAAUUGAUGGGGUCAGCGCAAGCGAAGCUCUUGAUCGAAGCCCCGGUAAACGGCGGCCGUAACUAUAACGGUCCUAAGGUAGCGAAAUUCCUUGUCGGGUAAGUUCCGACCUGCACGAAUGGCGUAAUGAUGGCCAGGCUGUCUCCACCCGAGACUCAGUGAAAUUGAACUCGCUGUGAAGAUGCAGUGUACCCGCGGCAAGACGGAAAGACCCCGUGAACCUUUACUAUAGCUUGACACUGAACAUUGAGCCUUGAUGUGUAGGAUAGGUGGGAGGCUUUGAAGUGUGGACGCCAGUCUGCAUGGAGCCGGCCUUGAAAUACCACCCUUUAAUGUUUGAUGUUCUAACGUUGACCCGUGAUCCGGGUUGCGGACAGUGUCUGGUGGGUAGUUUGACUGGGGCGGUCUCCUCCUAAAGAGUAACGGAGGAGCACGAAGGUUGGCUAAUCCUGGUCGGACAUCAGGAGGUUAGUGCAAUGGCAUAAGCCAGCUUGACUGCGAGCGUGACGGCGCGAGCAGGUGCGAAAGCAGGUCAUAGUGAUCCGGUGGUUCUGAAUGGAAGGGCCAUCGCUCAACGGAUAAAAGGUACUCCGGGGAUAACAGGCUGAUACCGCCCAAGAGUUCAUAUCGACGGCGGUGUUUGGCACCUCGAUGUCGGCUCAUCACAUCCUGGGGCUGAAGUAGGUCCCAAGGGUAUGGCUGUUCGCCAUUUAAAGUGGUACGCGAGCUGGGUUUAGAACGUCGUGAGACAGUUCGGUCCCUAUCUGCCGUGGGCGCUGGAGAACUGAGGGGGGCUGCUCCUAGUACGAGAGGACCGGAGUGGACGCAUCACUGGUGUUCGGGUUGUCAUGCCAAUGGCACUGCCCGGUAGCUAAAUGCGGAAGAGAUAAGUGCUGAAAGCAUCUAAGCACGAAACUUGCCCCGAGAUGAGUUCUCCCUGACUCCUUGAGAGUCCUGAAGGAACGUUGAAGACGACGACGUUGAUAGGCCGGGUGUGUAAGCGCAGCGAUGCGUUGAGCUAACCGGUACUAAUGAACCGUGAGGCUUAACCUUACAACGCCGAAGGUGUUU
rnacentral:rRNA from 1 species